rnacentral:misc_RNA from 1 species
GAUGAAGAACGCAGCAAAAUGCGAUAAGUAAUGUGAAUUGCAGAAUUCAGUGAAUCAUCGAAUCUUUGAACGCACAUUGCGCCCGCCAGUAUUCUGGCGGGCAUGCCUGUUCGAGCGUCAUUUCAACCCUCAAGACCAGCUUGGUGUUGGGAUCUGUCCUUACCGACAGUCCCCAAAUUGAUUGGCGGUCACGUCGAGCUUCCAUAGCGUAGUAAUUUACACAUCGUUACUGGUAAUCGUCGCGGCCACGCCGUUAAACCCCAACUUCUGAAUGUUGACCUCGGAUCAGGUAGGAAUACCCGCUGAACUUAAGCAUAUCAAUAAGCGGAGGA